AUGAACGCUGACAGAAUGCUUAACACAUGCAAGUCUACUUGAAGCUAACUUCGGUUAGUGGAGGGUGGCGGACGGGUGAAUAACGCGUAAAGAACUUGCCUCACAGUUUGGGACAACAUUUGGAAACGAAUGCUAAUACCGGAUAUUAUGAUACUUCUGCAUGGAAGAAUCAUGAAAGCUAUAUGCGCUGUGAGAAAGCUUUGCGUCCCAUUAACUAGUUGGAGAGGUAACGGCUCACCAAGGCGAUGAUGGGUAGCCGGGCUGAAAGGGUGAACGGCCACAAGGGGACUGAAACACGGCCCUUACUCCUACGGGAGGCAGCAGUGGGGAAUAUUGGACAAUGGACCAAAAAUCUGAUCCAGCAAUUCUGUGUGCACGAUGAAGUUUUUCGGAAUGUAAAGUGCUUUCAGUUGGGAAGAAGCAAGUGACGGUACCAACAGAAAAAGCGACGGCUAAAUACGUGCCAGCAGCCGCGGUAAUACGUAUGUCGCAAGCGUUAUCCGGAUUUAUUGGGCGUAAAGCGCGUCUAGGUGGUUAUAUAAGUCUGAUGUGAAAAUGCGGGGCUCAACUCCGUAUUGCGUUGGAAACUGUAUGACUAGAGUACUGGAGAGGUAAGCGGAACUACUAGUGUAGAGGUGAAAUUCGUAGAUAUUUGUAGGAAUGCCGAUGGGGAAGCCAGCUUACUGGACAGAUACUGACGCUAAAGCGCGAAGCGUGGGUAGCAAGCAAG
rnacentral:rRNA from 1 species